rnacentral:rRNA from 1 species
CCCUCUGGGGUGCGCAGGCCCGGCUGUAAACUGCUUUCAAUAUUCACAGUCUCCAGUGUUUCCAGAUAUUCCUUGUCGGUUUGGGUAAUCGCUGCAACGUGAAUUUCUCCGCUUUCAAGGCCGGCGGUGAUGGUGGCAAUCUCGGGGAUGACACGGAACUCGAUGCUUUCGAUAUUCCAUGGGCCGGUGUUCUGCCACGCAUCUGCCGGGCCCCAAUUAAAAUCGGGGUUGCGUUCCACGGUGAGCUUGCUGCCGGUUUCCCAUUCCACGAACUUGUUCGGGCCACAGCCGAUGGGGGCACGUACAAAUGCAUCCGCGCCCAUCGCCUCAAAGGCUUCCGGCUUUACCGGCUGCAUGUAACCGGGAUCGCCGAGAGAGAACAGGAAGGGGGAAUUGGCGGGAGAGC